GUGGCUGUCACCGGGCAAGGCGCCGAACUGACAGCACUCGGCGUGGUGAGAAGGCAGUCGAAAUCGAAGCGGAUAUAAAGAAGAAUGGUAACAUUCGUUUGAACGAUCAGUUCCACCAAAAGCAUCAUAAAAGUUGAAGCCACGGAACUGGGAACAAAACGCUCCUGUCAGCAAUAAUUCAAACCCGGUAAAAGGCCCCCUCCAGCCCCAAGCUGCUUUGAGUCUGCUCCAAACACUUCAAGAGAUAUUUGUGCAAUAGCAACCUUCGUGUUACUGUUGCUUGCGUCUGCCAGCCCAGUGUCCCCAUUGUAAACUACCUUCUGAACAAGUGUUCAGCAGUCUCCAUCAUCAGAUAAAAACAUAAAGAGGAGGAGAAAACACUCAAACAGCUUCUAACUUCAGCAUAACUAUCCCAAAAUUACAAAGCCCGCCACCACCAAGAAAAGCAAUGCUUCAGACAGCAUUGCAGAGUAUGAUGGGCAUGACAGCUUGGGGAGGUGAGGUGAAACACGAGCAGUUCUGUAUUCACGUGGAAACAUUCACAAUCAAUAAACAAAAUUGUGUUCAAACAGUU